rnacentral:lncRNA from 1 species
AUGGAACCCCGGAAAGUGGAUGCGAGGCAUGGUGAAGCGGUGGGAGCGGCGCCCCGAGCGAUGCGAAGAGAUGUGGAGCGGUGGGGGAGUGAGCGCUCGGGGCGCCGAUGGCGCGGGGCACUGGUGGAAUGCAGGGCACGUGGAGGAAACUCGGGCAGGGGGUUGCAGGGGCGCGGAACCCCGAGAAUGCUGGGCUCCUUGGGGGGGGGGCUGCGCGGCUCGGGGGCGGCGGCCGGGCCGGGGGGUGCGAACCUCGCCCUCCCCUCCCCCGCCGUGCGGCGUGGGGCGGCGGCGGCGGCGAAGGAGGAGGGGCUGCCCAGCACGGGCAGGGUUAAAGCGCCAUGUAACCGGAGCGCGGGGCUGUCGGGGGGCCGGCCGGGGCGCGGGAGGCGGCGAGUGGCGGCGCGGCCCCGCUGGACGGCGCGUCCCGUCGCGGCGCAGGUGAGCGCGGGGCCGGGCACCGGACACCGGGGGCAGAGCCGGGGGUUCCGGAGCCCACGGGGCUGGAGCCGCGACGCAUCCUCGUGGGCGGCUUUGUUGUUCGCGGCUGCGGGGGACAAUGGGGCGGGCGGGGACGCGGUACCGGAGCGCGGCGCCGGGUCUUUGCGAGAGCGUCCCGGGCCCCCGUCUCUCCCCGGUUACCGAGGCUCGCGGCACGGGGCAGCGGGCGGUGGGGAGGGGCUGCGGGCAGCGGCCUCGCCGCCACUUGUUGCCGGCUCUCGGCCCCGGGAGACCUGCGGGACUCGGCGACGGGCGCGCCCCGGGCUCCCUCCUCUCCCCGCCCCGCCGGUCCCGCCCGGCCCCGCCGGCUCCUGCCGCAACUUCGCGAGUUACCGGCGCUGCGCUCCGCGGGGCCCGGCCGGGGCUGUCACGGAGGGGGCGGGCGCUGGGCUUCUCCCGCGAUGCCGGGACGGCCGAGGGACGGCAGACCACGGCAAAGCCACGGGGCCCCGCGUUCCCGACGGCGAAGCGACAAGUGAUGCCUUCGGGGCUGGGAGGGUCCGGGGAUGCUUCAGUCAUCAACCCCGCGGGCACUGGGGCGGACGGGAGGGUUUCCGGGAGCCCGCGGUGGCAUUGGCCGUACUCGGUAUAAACACCUUUGUUUUCCUCUCCGUGGGCCGACGAUGUGUCAGUCCAUCUUCUUUCUCUCUUUCCGCAGGAGAGCGGCUCCCGGUGGUGCCUGAAGCGUGA